GGUGAACGCUGGCGGUAGGCCUAACACAUGCCAGUCGAACGGCAGCACAGUAAGAGCUUGCUCUUACGGGUGGCGAGUGGCGGACGGGUGAGGAAUACAUCGGAAUCUACUUUUUCGUGGGGGAUAACGUAGGGAAACUUACGCUAAUACCGCAUACGACCUACGGGUGAAAGCAGGGGAUCUUCGGACCCUGCGCGAUUGAAUGAGCCGAUGUCGGAUUAGCUAGUUGGCGGGGUAAAGGCCCACCAAGGCGACGAUCCGUAGCUGGUCUGAGAGGAUGAUCAGCCACACUGGAACUGAGACACGGUCCAGACUCCUACGGGAGGCAGCAGUGGGGAAUAUUGGACAAUGGGCGCAAGCCUGAUCCAGCCAUACCGCGUGGGUGAAGAAGGCCUUCGGGUUGUAAAGCCCUUUUGUUGGGAAAGAAAAGCAGCAGGUUAAUACCCCGCUGUUCUGACGGUACCCAAAGAAUAAGCACCGGCUAACUUCGUG
rnacentral:rRNA from 1 species